CAGUAGCCGCGGUAAAACGGAGGGUGCAAGCGUUAAUCGGAAUUACUGGGCGUAAAGCGCACGCAGGCGGUCUGACAAGUCAGAUGUGAAAUCCCCGGGCUUAACCUGGGAACUGCAUUUGAAACUGUCAGGCUGGAGUCUUGUAGAGGGGGGUGGAAUUCCAGGUGUAGCGGUGAAAUGCGUAGAGAUCUGGAGGAAUACCGGUGGCGAAGGCGGCCCCCUGGACAAAGACUGACGCUCAGGUGCGAAAGCGUGGGAGCAAACAGGAUUAGAUACCCCAGUAGUCCCUGUCUCUUAUACA
rnacentral:rRNA from 1 species